GACGAACGCUGGCGGCGUGCUUAACACAUGCAAGUCGAACGGAAAGGCCCUGCUUUUGUGGGGUGCUCGAGUGGCGAACGGGUGAGUAACACGUGAGUAACCUGCCCUUGACUUUGGGAUAACUUCAGGAAACUGGGGCUAAUACCGCAUAGGAGCUCCUGCUGCAUGGUGGGGGUUGGAAAGUUUCGGCGGUUGGGGAUGGACUCGCGGCUUAUCAGCUUGUUGGUGGGGUAGUGGCUUACCAAGGCUUUGACGGGUAGCCGGCCUGAGAGGGUGACCGGCCACAUUGGGACUGAGAUACGGCCCAGACUCCUACGGGAGGCAGCAGGGGGGAAUAUUGCACAAUGGGCGGAAGCCUGAUGCAGCAACGCCGCGUGCGGGAUGACGGCCUUCGGGGUGUAAACCGCUUUCGCCUGUGACGAAGCGUGAGUGACGGUAAUGGGUAAAGAAGCACCGGCUAACUACGUG
rnacentral:rRNA from 1 species